rnacentral:rRNA from 1 species
GACGUAGGGCGCGAGCGUUGUCCGGAUUUAUUGGGCGUAAAGAGCUCGUAGGCGGCUUGUUGCGUCGACUGUGAAAACCCGCGGCUUAACUGCGGGCUUGCAGUUGAUACGGGCAGGCUAGAGUUCGGUAGGGGAGACUGGAAUUCCUGGUGUAGCGGUGAAAUGCGCAGAUAUCGGGAGGAACACCAAUGGCGAAGGCAGCUCGCUGGGACGUUACUGACGCUGAGACGCGAAAGCGUGGGGAGCAAACAGG